rnacentral:piRNA from 1 species
UGGAAUGGGGUGAUCCUUCCAGAU